ACUUUCACCACUGAAACAUGAUUUUUCUACUACAUAAAUCAGGCAUAGAAAGAACUAAGUUUAAAAUGAAAAAAGGAUGACUGAUGCGUGAUAAGAUUUUCGUUCGUUUUCCACUACAAAUGUUGUUCACUCCAAUCAUGUAUACAUUCAUAGCAAGAUUGCGCGUGUUUCGAAGACAUGCCAAUUAAAUCAGUCAACCAUUCAACGAAAAGCUCGUUGUCUCGUUUCAAAAGCAAAUACUGUCCCAAAAUUGUAUAUGCCUUGUCGAAUCCUUUAUCAAUCAACUUUUGUCCGUACACAGGACCAAGGAGUUCAGUAGGCACGCGAGUCGUUGACGUUUUUCAUUGAACAGUCGAAGGCGAAAUGAAAGUGUUCAUGAAAAUGAACUGUACUCUUUUUUAUGGAGUGCUGUUCAAUUUCAACAUGAUCGUCCUUUUUUUGCGCUUGUGGUGCAAAAUAGUAGAUGUAUGGGGACGCGCAGUGUGGUGCCGUUGAAUAGUCGCACUGUUCUCUCUUUCUCUUCGGGGUUGGAGGAACAAUUGUCGAUCAGUCGGUUUCGGAGCGUGCACACUGGUACCCGAAAGAUGGUGAACUAUGCUUGAGCAGAAUGAAGCCAGAGGAAACUCUGGUGGAAGUUCGUAGCGGUGUUGACGUGCAAAUCACUCGUCUGACUUGAGUGUAGGGGCGAAAGACUAAUCGAACCAUCUAGUUGCUGGUUCCUUCCGAAGUUUCCCUCAGGAUAGCUGGCAUUUGUUUGUAACAAUUUUAUCCGGUAGAGCGAAUGAUUAGAGGUGUUGGGAACGCAAUGUUCUCAGCCUAUUCUCAAACUUCGAAUGGGUAAGCAAGGCGUUUUGCUUUGAUUUUACGAUGAAAUCGCCCAAUUAGAAGAAUGUAUAAAUGCCUAGUGGGCCAAUUUUGGUAAGCAGAACUGGCGAUGUGGAAUGAACCAAAAGUCAGGUUAAGGUGCCAGACAUUGGCGCUCAUGAAAUACCAGAAAAGGUGUUGGUCGAUAUAGACAGCAGGACGGUGGCCAUGGAAGUUGGAAUCCGCCAAGGAGUGUGUAACAACUCACCUGCCGAAUCGACUAGCCCUGAAAAUGGAUAGCGUUUGAGCUCCAGGCCCAUACCUGACCGUCUCAAUUACGCACCCUUUUUUCGGAAAAGGUGUAAUGCACGUUGAGACGGGUAGGAAGGUCGCGACAGUGUUGCUUUGAAGAGUUUUGAGCGUGAGCUCGCUCGGAGCCGCUGUCGGUGCAGAUCUUGGUGGUAGUAGCAAAUAUUCAAGUGAGAACCUUGAAGGCUGAAGUGGAGCAAGGUUCCAUGUGAACAGCAGUUGGACAUGGGUCAGUCGAUCCUAAGAAAACGGCGAAAGCUUUUUCGAAUUUGCGACAUGAAUUGUAAGACUGUGAAUAAUUGUGUGCGUGUGUUUGCCAAUUAUUAAUUGUUGUGCGCAGUUGUCGUAUGUUUUCGAAAGGGAAUCCGGUUGAUAUUCCGGAACCGAGUAACGGAGACAAAGAGUAGCGCUUUAAUCUCUCUCUCUCUGUGGGGUUGGCGUUCAACUCAAUCGCGCGGUAACGCAAGCGAACUCGGAAAAUGACCGUCGUGAGUUUCGAAAAGAGUUUUCUUUUCUUUUUAAGGGACGCAUUCCCUGGAACCGGGUUGUCCGGAGAUAGGGAUUUUGGUAUCCAUAAAACGCCGACUUUUUCACGGUGUUCGGAGCGCUCUCGUCGGUACGUGAAAAUCCGAGCGACGCCUGGUAAAUCUCGUACUUGGUCGUACUGAUAUCCGCAGCAGGUCUCCAAGGUGAAUAGCCUCUGGCCGAUAGAAUAAUGUAGGUAAGGGAAGUCGGCAAAACGGAUCCGUAACUUCGGAACAAGGAUUGGCUCUAAGGGCUGGGCCGAUCGGGCUGAGGUUUCAAGCGUGCAGUGUAUGCUUGGCUUAGUUGUGUUGAGGACUUGUUCACUUGCCACCGUUUGUUCGGUUGGUCGAGUGUAUUCGAGUCUGAAGCAGAGCUGGCCGUCAGACCGGCACGUGUAGAACCUGAGCUGCGCGGCUGUCCGUUUUCGUGUACAGACCGUUUCGGUCGGCAUUCAACAGCCAACUUAGAACUGGCACGGACACAAGGAAUCUGACUGUAUAAUUAAAACAAAGCAUUGCGAUGGCCGAUGAUCGGUGAUGACGCAAUGUGAUUUCUGCCCAGUGCUCUGAAUGUCAAAGUGAAGAAAUUCAAUCAAGCGCGGGUAAACGGCGGGAGUAACUAUGACUCUCUUAAGGUAGCCAAAUGCCUCGUCAUCUAAUUAGUGACGCGUAUGAAUGGAUCAACAAGAUUCCUUCUGUCCCUAUCUACUAUCUAGCGAAACCACAGCCAAGGGAACGGGCUUGGCAAAAUCAGCGGGGAAAGAAGACCCUGUUGAGCUUGACUCUAGUCUGACUCUGUGAAGAGACAUGAAAGGUGUAGCAUAGGUGGGAGAUUGUCAAUUUGCCAUCGUUCGCGCGAUGGUCCCGGUGAUCGCCAAUGAAAUACCACUACUUUGAUCGUUUCUUUACUUAUUCGGUAAAGCGAAAAAAUUGUGGCCAAUUUGGCGGUGUUUAUGUCGCUGUUGGUCAUUGUUUUCAUGUUGGAUUGAAGCUUUGUUUUGAGCCGUCGCUUUGUGUCUUCAUUUGACGCAUUGUUGUGCUGGGUUAGUAGCCCAGUGUGUGAUGUUGUCAAAAUGUAUGAUCGCCGAAGAAUAUCAGCACACCCUUGCACUAAGUGCAACAAAGUUUGGUGUCGUUAUAAAAACUUUCAUAAAAGAGUAUGAAAGAAUACAUGAUUUGGUGAAUGUUAGAAUGAAUUGUGGCCAGAUUAUAUCUGGAAGUGAAUAUGCUGAACUUGUUUUGAAGAUGUCGGACGCAAUUUCGAAAAUAUUUAAACCUGGAAUGCAGCUAGUGGAAAUGGGAAAUGAACUGCUCGAUACAAUUAACAAAAUGGAACAGCUUAAUAUUUUCAGUCUUGGG
rnacentral:rRNA from 1 species